rnacentral:tmRNA from 2 species
GGGGCUGAUUCUGGAUUCGACGGGAUUUGCGAAACCCAAGGUGCAUGCCGAGGGGCGGUUGGCCUCGUAAAAAGCCGCAAAAAAAUAGUCGCAAACGACGAAACCUACGCUUUAGCAGCUUAAUAACCUGCUUAGAGCCCUCUCUCCCUAGCCUCCGCUCUUAGGACGGGGAUCAAGAGAGGUCAAACCCAAAAGAGAUCGCGUGGAUGCCCUGCCUGGGCUUGAAGCGUUAAAACGAAUCAGGCUAGUCUGGUAGUGGCGUGUCCGUCCGCAGGUGCCAGGCGAAUGUAAAGACUGACUAAGCAUGUAGUACCGAGGAUGUAGGAAUUUCGGACGCGGGUUCAACUCCCGCCAGCUCCACCA